rfam:Gaeumannomyces graminis var. tritici R3-111a-1 unplaced genomic scaffold supercont2.3, whole genome shotgun sequence.
GGCAACGUGCCAGAGUGGUUAAUGGGUUAGACUCGAAUCGUGCACCUGCUUCCAGGUGUCGGGCGAUCUAAUGGCUUCGGCCGCACAAGUUCGAAUCUUGUCGUUGUCG